AUGCCCUUUUUCCCGCCCAACAGUGUUUUCCCUUCUUUAUCUUCUUCUUUUCUCUGCUUCUCAAUUCAGAUUUCAUUUCCCUCUUCUCUCUCUUCUCUCUGGCGAUUCAAAUGGCGAUUCAAAUACCAGAUCUGCGAUUUCAGGGUCCUCCACAUCUUCUAAUCUUCUCUGGCGAUUCAAAAACCAGGUAAAUCUCUGCUUUCAGAUCUACACAACUAUGCUUCAUAUUUAGGGCUUUUUAUGAUCCCGGAUGGAAGCUUACUAUUGAGGAGUAUUAUGAUCGGCAGAGUAAGCAUAUUUUGGAUACGAUUGUUGAGACUCUGUUGAAGGAUGAAAGGAGGAAGUUUAUUUGGGAAGAGAUGUCGUAUUUGGAGAGGUGGUGGCGGGAUGCUCCGGAUGCGAAAAAGGAGGCUUUGGUUCGGUUGCUGCAGAAUGGACAGUUAGAGAUAGUUGGUGGUGGUUGGGUGAUGAAUGAUGAGGCCAAUUCACAUUAUUUUGCCAUCAUUGAACAGGUAUGUGAUUGGUCAACAACUGUGGAUCCAACAUAAAUGUUGAAAUAUAUAUUGAUGAUUCUUCAUGCUUGAUUACUUAGGCUACAUGUUGUGGACUGAGAUAUUGGUUUGUGAAUUUAGGGCUUUUGGCUUGCUUUUAUGAAUGCUAUAGACAGUGAUACAUUAGUUGGGAAAAAAUAAAUUUUAUUUAAAUCUGUAAUGUACUAAAGUUGGAUAUAUAUUAAGGGUAUGUUCUAUUUAGGAAGUACACCUCAAUGCUUGAAUUUUGAGAUGAAGACAAGCAAAUAAGCAUGGUGCAACCGGAUGGUUUGUUAACAUUGGCUGGUCAGGUGGAAGUUAUGGAUCAGGUAAGCGUAUAAAAUUGGGAUACACACGGAAAAUAAUUGAUGCCAUCCACUCUGGGAAGCUUUUGGAAGCAAACUACACAAAGACAGAGAUAUUUGGGCUUGAAAUCCCAACUGAAAUUGAAGGGGUUCCUUCUGAGAUCUGAGAUCCAGCUAACACAUUGGUUCAAGCCGCCCAAACCGAAGCAAGUCGGUUGGUUUGAUAUCCAAAGGGUUCGGUUCUGGUGGUUUGACAGCUUGGUUUGGAACUUUGAACUAACCGUGUAAACCGAACAAGUUAUUUAACUUUAUUGGAGAUAGCCAUGCUGGAGGCAAGGCGUCAGCGGUGUUAAAGAAAAUGUUGCCCUUCUCAAGAAGGAAGAGGAAGAAAAGAAAGCGAGGGAAGGCACUGGUCGUAAAAUAACAAGCAUGGGGCUUUGAUCCUUUUCAAGAAAUCUGAUUUGGAUUUUAUCUUUUUGACACGGUAUGCUUCUUCAAAAGAGCUAUUGGACUAUUUCUCCGGUGCGAUUUUGUCAGGCUGUUCCAGUUUUGAGUGGCUGUUAAAACAAGUAAUAAAGGGUAUCAACUAAAUUCAAAUAAAAAACGUUGCAUAUACUUUAGUGAAGGUCAAACUGUGAUCAAGGUCAAAGUCAAGUUUCAUGAUAGAAGAACACAGUUUUUACACUCUACGGUUUGCAUUUGAUCUAAAGAACACAGUUUUUGCACUCUACGGUUUGCAUUUGAGCAACAGUAUUUCCCCUUUGACCGUCAUACGAACAAAGUACAGGCAAGAUAAGGAAGCCGGAUUAUGUAUGCCGGUAUAUACAUUCCGAUGAUGGAGAUUUGGUAAAAUACAACCUUUUGAGGUCUAAUCUGGAUGAGGAGCGAUGGGUAUCUAUCAAGGACACUGAUCAAUAAUUUGAAUCGAUUCAACUCUGGCAUGUAUCAUUUUUAGUUGUUUAUGUUGAGUAGGUUUCAAUAAAUAACUUUUUAAAUUUGAGCAUGAACUCAAGUACUUCAAAAAUACUUUGGCUCUGUUUUCUUGGUUAAAUUGUACUUUACUGACGUUAUAGUCUAUCAAAAUCCAUUAUUAUUU